AGCUUUGUGCAGUGGCAGUAUCGUAGCCAAUGAGGUUCAUCUGAGGUGCAAUUAUUGCUAAUUGAAAACUUUUCCCAAGUCCCUGCCAUGACGGCUUGAAAUAGUCAGCAUUGGCAAUUUUUGUCAGCUUCUUUGGGG
rnacentral:snRNA from 1 species